rnacentral:rRNA from 1 species
UACGUAGGGUGCGAGCGUUAAUCGGAAUUACUGGGCGUAAAGCGUGCGCAGGCGGUUUGUUAAGCCAGAUGUGAAAGCCCCGGGCUCAACCUGGGAACUGCGUUUGGUACUGGCAAGCUAGAGUACGGCAGAGGGGGGGUGGAAUUCCACGUGUAGCAGUGAAAUGCGUAGAGAUGUGGAGGAACACCGAUGGCGAAGGCAGCCCCCUGGGCCGAUACUGACGCUCAGGCACGAAAGCGUGGGGAGCAAACAGG